CCCGCGGCAACUUCGCUAUUUUCUAAGAUCAAAGCGAAGUCAACUUCGCCGACUUUUUCAAAGAUCAAAAAGUCGAUAUCGCUAAGAACUAAUGCUUGUCAAAACAGAGCGACUCCGCCUUCCGCCUGUCAGCUCGAUUGACAAACAGCCAAUCGUGUUAAACCUAGUAAAUAUGCUCCUUUGACUUCGACCAAUGAGAACGCUUGUUUUAUUCAAUCGAGGCACGUGUUUGCACCAUUGACUUUGUGUACAUGCGCUACGUCAUCGAUGUAAUAAAAUUGUAAGGGAUUAAUAUUUACACUUGCCGAUGUUUGUAAAAGUCAAUUUGGGCCAAUUAGGAUUUAUACUUUAUGACAAUAGCGGUUUAAAUGAUGUGCACUGAUGACAAAUGAACUUAAUUGGGUGUGAUUACUGCGAAGUUAGCGAGAAGGGCAAGUGCGAAUCACAGUUCCAGUUGGUACAAACAAGAUGCAGAUAAAAAAUGGCACUGCGAAGUUUGUAGAUGUGCUAAGUUGGACAACGCCUAAGCCCUUGGACAUGACCAACCAGCAAAAACAACCAAUCAUCAGAGACAUGGCUUGUCAAAAUAUUUUUCAGCAAAUCAGCACAAGGCCGCCUUGGAGAGACAGUUCUGCGUUCCCAGGAACCCAUGAGGAAAAUCGUACUGGCCAAACUGUCCAAGGAUGACAAGCUUGACCCCAAGCUCCUUAAGAAUGCCUACCACCUG